rnacentral:rRNA from 1 species
UACGUAGGGUGCAAGCGUUAAUCGGAAUUACUGGGCGUAAAGCGUGCGCAGGCGGUUUUGUAAGUCUGAUGUGAAAUCCCCGGGCUCAACCUGGGAAUUGCAUUGGAGACUGCAAGGCUAGAAUCUGGCAGAGGGGGGUAGAAUUCCACGUGUGAGCAGUGAAAUGCGUAGAGAUGUGGAGGAACACCGAUGGCGAAGGCAGCCCCCUGGGUCAAGAUUGACGCUCAUGCA